rnacentral:tRNA from 1 species
AUAGCUCAGUGGUAGAGCUCAUGCUUAGCGUGCAUGAGGUCCUAGGUUCAAUCCCCAGU